CAUCAUCGUGAAUAGGAGCCCCUGUGCUGCGCAAUCGAAGGUAAUAGCAUCAUCAUAUGGCUUGCUUCCUUCUCUAUUGCGCAUAGCGUCCGUUAGCAGGAAGAACGGGUCCCGGAUGGCCGGGGCGUCUGCUCGCCGGCGCGGUGCCGCCGCGGUUGGGGACGCCGCCGCGGUCUAGGGGCGUUGGUUGAGGGAGUAAUGGGAAGCGUAGAUUUAUUGACGAUCAGCCUGGAUUAGAUGUUAGGGUGUUGCGCCGGGCGCCAUUGAUCCCGCGGGCUUCUGAUCGGACGGCCGAAUUUCUCUAUACCCCUUCGACCGUGGCAAAAUUCUUAAAGAGCCCCUGAUCUUCACAGUACUCAACCCGCCGUCCUCGGCCGAUGUAAAGUAAUUGCUAUUGAGCCCUGUAUAUUUAUAAACUAGCCCAUGUACUCUUUAGAAUUUGUAGCAGCAGUCCAUAGCCUUUGUUUUCGGUAAAUAGAAUUUUAGAAAAUGAUUUAUAAUAUAGAAUAAUCUUAGAUAAUUCAUAACUUCUCCAUUUUAACCCCUUUUUUUAACCCAUUCCAGUUGUAAUAAUUUUUUUAUAUUGUCUAUCAACUUGUAACACUGUUUAGCCAUGAAACUUGAAUUAAAAUUAUUCAUUAAGAUUAAUCUAUUCUAAGUACUGAAUAAUUUCAGAAGUUAAUAACUUAAUGACUGUAACUUCGAAUUUAGUGGUUCUUGUUUCUGCGAUCUCGUAGCAACGUGUAGAAUAUUAUUAUUUAGUCUGCUCUUAUGUUUGGUGUGAUGUUAAUUUUGUCUAUACCAUGUAUGUUUGUAUUACUACGACUAGCAGUGAGAACACGUGUCAUCUAAAGAGCAAGUUGGUACCUGGAAUCUCAAGUCCCAGGCAAGUUGUGCCCUUGAUCACUUCUUUUACCCACUCAUGUUCUAAUUAAUCAUAAUGAUCUGCAUAGGUUAAUUUUGAUGGGACCUAAUAGGUUACCCUAGUUUGUCUAUCUUUAUGCCUUGUUUACCACUGAACUUUUUGGGUAGUACUUGCUAGUGCUAUAUGUGGUUUUGGGCAUUGAGAUACACAUUAUUCAUGAUUAUACUUUUGUUAUCCGUUGUUAGUUACUGUUCAUGUCAAGAUCAUUAAUGUUAAUUGGAACAUAGAGCUUACCUUGAGAAACACGUGCCACCACAAGGGUUUAUGGACACCCUUGGCUGAUUAAUUAGGAAAGCUAGUGGAGGACUACCUUACCCGAAAGGGCAAGGGCAGUAGGGGAGUGGUCAGUGUAGGGAGGUCCUUGGUUGAUUUUGCUGCGAUGGCGGUCAGACAAGAACCCUGCAUUGGAGCUUCCUAUAAACUGUAGCGAGUUUUCUGAAGCUAGUGGAACUCUGUAAAGGCCUCGUAGGUACCGCAGGAUGAGCUCGUAUGUGAGCGAUGAACGUAUGUGAGCUCACUCUUGCUGUCUCACACCCCCCCACAGGUCAAGAACAGGUACCGCAGGAUGAGGCGCAUGGAGGAUGCUGCGAUGAGUUCGUGAGAGAGAUCUAGGCCGUCGUCUCCCAGUCAACUUUGGGUUGCUGGACCGGUGUCUCCUUAUAAUGUAAUUAUUUAUUUUGUAUAGAACUCCUGUUAUGUAGUAAAGAUGUGACAUUCGAUCCUGUGCCAUGAUUCAUCAUAUGUGUGAGACUUGGUCCCAGCACACCUGGUGAUUAUGUUCGCGCCCGGGCUUUGGACCCCUAAAACCCGGGUGUGACAACCAUGAAGUGGCCUUUAACACUCUUAAGCAGUCCCUGUCUUCAGCCCCAGUUUUAGCUCUGCCCAAUUUCGCAAUGCCCUUUGCUAUUGAGUUUGAUGCCUCGAGUUUGGGGAUUGGUGCGGUGCCGUUACAAGACGGUCAUCCUCUAGCCUUUGUCAGCAAAGCACUUGGGUCCAAAACUAAAGGCCUUUCGACUUAUGAAAAUGAGUAUUUAGCAAUUAGUCUUCCAGUCACUCAGUGGAGACAAUAUUUACAACAUUCGGAAUUUCUCAUCUAUACUGAUCAUAGAAGUUUAUCCCAUCUUACAGAGCAGAAGUUGCAUAGGCAGCAGAAAAUGUUUUUCAAACUAUUAGGGUUGCAGUACCGAGUGGUAUAUAAGAAAGGAGUGGAAAAUGGGGCAGCCGACGCAUUGUCUCGCAGACCGGCCACCGAAGCUAUGUUGUGUAGUGUAUCCUCUUCGGUGCCUCAAUGGCUUAUUAAGGUGUUAGACAGCUACAACCAAGACCCUCAAGCCCAAAAAAUACUGACUGAACUUGUGGUCCAACAAGACAAUUCUGCACCUUAUUCCAUACAGUCGGGUAUAAUUCGUUACAAAGGCCGAGUUUGGGUUGGCAAUGAUUCUCAUCUUCAGCAUAACAUCAUAGCUGCAUUGCAUGACAGUCCCUUGGGAGGACAUUCUGGAUUUGUAGUUACCUAUCAGCGUGUUAAACAGUUGUUCUCUUGGAAAGGUAUGAAAGAUCAGAUCAAGUAUUACGUUGUUGGUUGUUCUGUACGUCAUCAGUCUAAGCCUGACAGAAGCAAAUAUCCUGGACUUCUUCAACCUGUACCAGUGCCUGAGCAGUCUUGGCAAGUCAUAAGUAUGGACUUUGUGGAAGGGCUUCCUCGAUCCCGUAAUGCUGAUACUAUCUUAGUGGUGGUGGAUGUUUUUUCUAAAUACACCCAUUUCUUGCCAUUGCUUCACCCUUAUACUGCACUCAAAGUGGCUCAAGUCUUUAUGGAUUCAGUUUACAAGUUGCAUGGGUUGCCUCAUUCCAUAAUAUCAGACUAGGAUAAAAUCUUUACAAGCCACUUUUGGCAGGAGCUGUUUCGGUUGUCGGGCAUAGCCUUGAAGAUGAGUUCUUCGUAUCAUCCUCAAACGGAUGGUCAAACUGAAAGACUUAAUCAAUGUUUGGAGACAUUUUUCUUCGCAGCUUUGUGCACGCAUGUCCUUCCAAAUGGUUAUCAUGGUUGGCAUUGGCAGAGUACUGGUAUAAUACCAGCUUCCAUUCUUCAUUGGGCAUUACUCCUUUUGAGGUAAUGUAUGGUCGACAUCCUAGACAUCUGGGUAUCUCUAUGGUCGAUGUGUCCACAACAAAUGAUUUACAUGCUUGGAUGCAAGACCGGGAAUUGAUGGUAUGACUGGUCAGACAACAUCUUCUACGGGCUCAGCAAAGGAUUAAAACUCAGGCUGAUAAAGGAAGGACAGAUCGUGAGUUCUACGUGGGGGAUUCAGUAUACCUCAAACUUCAGCCAUAUGUACAGAGCUCUGUUGCUCGCCGCGCCAAUCACAAGCCAAGCUUUAAGUAUUUUGGCCCCUACACUGUUUUACAGUGCAUUGGCAAGGCAGCUUACAAAUUGCUUCUGCCACCGUCCACUUCUAUACAUCCUAUCUUUCAUGUGUCUCAACUCAAACAAUCCUUGGGUCCUAAUCAGGUGGCUGCUGUCCUUCCAGAUCAGAUUGAUCCUUUACAAGUUUCUCAGCAGAUAUUGGAUCGACGUCUUAUCAAUAGGGGCAACCAUCAGGUGUCCCGGGUUUUGAUCAAAUGGUCCAACCUUGACGCAUCUCUUUCUACAUGGGAGGAUGAAGUAGCGCUUCGUGCAAGGUUUCCUUCAGCUGCUGCUUGGGGUCAAGCAGCUUUUCAAGGCGGAGGUAAUGUCAGCAACCCGGACACAUAGGAGCAGGCAAGCACGGGAGAAGCCAUGACGGCUGAGCCAGGACGAAGGAUGGGCCGGCGCAGCCGAAGGCCUAGUUCCAGGAUCGCGGGAGCAGAGUGGAUUCGUUAAGCACCAAGGCCCAAAUACCUCAUUGCUAGCUAGAGGCUAGCUGUAAUAAAUAGAAGAGACUUGUAACAGGAAAACAGUUUUGAUUCAGUAAUCGAAAUUCAUAGCCGCGGCCACAGCGGCGACAGCUUCUCCGGCUCAUCGUCGGUGAACCAACAGUGGUUGCUGACAUGCUUGUUGACACUUUUUUUGAGGAAUCAACGUGGAGAGGGCGAGGAGCCCCACCUGAACAUUGUUGACACUAGUACUGGUAUCCCAAUAUAUGGAAUUGCUAAGUUUCAAUUAGUUCUUUGGGUUUGAAGGGAACCCAUGUACACUUUGUUCAUGUUGUUCUGGAUUGCUUUCUGUUAGUUGGAUUGCUACCAUUUUACAUGACGUAGGAGAUAACCACACAAUCUAUUAGAUACAACAUCUAGACUACCAAAUAUACUCUUAACACAUAUGACAGUCUACGAGACACAAUAUCUAGACUACCAGAUGCACGAAACACAAUUUCUGAGUUCACUCAAAGGAAUUAGCCUGAGAUGGACAACUCCUUGUUCCAUUCCCAUGAAUCUGCAGUAAAGCAGGGAGUCAGGUAGCCUGGAGAGGAAGCACUCCAACACUGUUCAUAUAAAAGGACAACGAAUUCAGCAAGAGCAGGGAAGAGUUGAUGCUGCUCAACAUGACCACACAUGAGGCACACCAAUCUCUGCCUUUCAAGAAUCAGUAAAAUGGUAUCUGCAAGAUGUGUUACUCUGCAUUCGCUUGUUGUGAAACACAUAUAUAGUUGCAAAAAUGUAGUGGUGAGAAUCUAGAACUCUGUCAAACAGUGACAGAUCUAGUAAUGAAUUUAAAAGAAGGAAUAGUAGGAUAAGACUUGUUAUUCCGAUAUCGAGCCAAGGGAGAGCGCUGCAACGAUGUCCCCACAUGCUUGGCGUGCUGCAGCUUGCACCCACGCGGCAGCAUGGGUGUGCAGUGCGUUGGCCACCGAGCCGUAUGUUGCGGCGCUGGUGUUAGAGUACCCAUUAGGGUUUUAGGUAUUUUCUGUGUAAUUACCCUCUCGCUCCUACUAUAAUGGGUAUGGCUUAACUAUCGAGUCUAUUAAUACAUUUUCAACCCACUCAGGGGUUUGAGUUUCCCACACGGUCUCCUCCUUCGACCAUUCUCGACGUCGGAGCUUGUGGUCUACACCAACGCCGACUGAGCCGGCUGCCCCGACACGCGCCGAUACACCUCCAGCUAUACCGUAUUCCUGGGCGCCAACCUCGUCUCCUGGGCUGCCAAGCGGCAGCCCGUCGUCUUCCGCUCCAGCGCAGAGGCCGAGUACCACGCUGUAGCCAACGGCGUGGCAGAGGCCUCCUGGAUGCGCCAGCUCCACCACGAGCUCCACGACCCCUUCAGCGCGCCACCCUCGUCUACUGCGACAACGUCAGCGCCGUCUAUCUCUCCACCAAUCCCGUGCAGCAUCAGCGCACGAAGCAUGUACUAUGGAGAUCGACAUGCACUUCGUUUGGGAGCGUGUCGCUGCAGGUGACGUUCGGGUCCUCAGCGUCCCCAUAACGCUGCAGUUCGCUGACAUAUUCACCAAGGAGCUACUGUCGAGUGUAUUCCUAGACUUUUGCUCCACUCUCAAUAUCUGUACAUGAAAGGGAAAUGUGCCCUUGGGCUAUUUCUAAGUAUUUUGGUGAUUUAGUGUCCAACACAAGUGCCUAAGUGUAAAAUGUGGACAAAGUACAAAUCAAGGAUAAAGGUAUGUUUCUCAGACUUAGUACAUUGUUUUAGUGACUAAUGUAUUGUGUCUAAGUGUUGGAAACAGGAAAAAUCGAAUUGGAAAUGAGAUGGCUUUGUUCAGCCAAAGUCUGCUCAGUCUGGGAGCACCGGACUGUCCGGUGGUGCAUCGGACAGUGUCCGGUGCGCCAGGCUGGCUCUGGCGAACAGGCCGCUCUCGGGAAUUCAUCGGCGACGUACGGCUAUAAUUCACCGGACUGUCCGGUGUGCACCGGACUGUCCGGUGAGCCAACGGUCGGCCGAGCCAACGGUCGGCCGCGCGAUCUGCGCGGGACACGUGGCUGAGCCAACGGCUAGAAGGGGGCACCGGACUGUCCGGUGUGCAUCGGACAUGUCCGGUGCGCCAACGGCUCUCAGACUGCCAACGUCGACUGCGCCAUUUAUGGAAAGAAAUCGGGCACCGGACAUGUCCGGUGUGCACCGGACUGUCCGGUGCUCCAGUCGACAGAAGGCAAGAUCAACCUUCCUAGAUUGCUCUCAACGGCUCCUAGCUGCCUUGGGGCUAUAAAAGGGACCCCUAGGCGCAUGGAGGAGUACACCAAGCAUCCUUUGAGCACUAUUGAUCACUCACACAUCAUUCUUGCGCACUUGUUCGCCAUUCUAGUGAUUUGAGCCUCGUUCUAGUGUGCUAGUCUUUUGAGCUCAAGUCUGAGUCUUGUGUGUGCGUAGUUGCUGUGAUCUUUGUGUCUUGUGUGAGUUGCUCAUCCCUCCCUUACUCCGUGAUUCUUUGUGAACAUCAAAAGUGUAAGGGCGAGAGGCUCCAAGUUGUGGAGAUUCCUCGCGAACGGGAUAAGAAAAGAAAAGCAAAACACCGUGGUAUUCAAGUUGAUCAUUGGAUCACUUGAGAGGAGUUGAGUGCAACUCUCGUCCGUUGGGACGCCACAACGUGGAGUAGGCAAGUUUUGUACUUGGCCGAACCACGGGAUAAACCACUGUGUCAUCUCUGUGUUGAUCUCUUUGAGGUUAUCGUAUUGUGCAAAUUCUUCUCUCUAGCCACUUGGUGAUUAUUGUGCUAACACUUAACCAAGUUUUGUGGCUUAAGUUUUAAGUUUUACAGGAUCACCUAUUCACCCCCCCUCUAGGUGCUCUCAAUUGGUAUCAGAGCCGUUCUCUUCACAAAGGGACUAACCGCUCGAAGAGAUGGAUCCUAAGAGGAAGGGUAUCAUGAUCAACGAUAAAGAGAAGGAAUCUUUCGUCAACGAGCCAAAGGAUGACAAGCCUACCGACUCGGGCUCGGGUCAUAGACGAAAAGAUGGGAAGAAGAAGAAGACAAGGCGCAUUAAGGAGAUCGUCUACUACGACGACAGUGAUGAGUCCACUUCUUCCCACAAGGAAAACGACAACAACGACUACGACAAACGAAAGACGGUUAACUCGAACUUUUCUUUCGAUUAUUCGCGUAUUCCUCAAAGUGCAAAUGCUCAUUUAUUAUCUAUUCCACUUGGUAAACCUCCUCAUUUUGAUGGAGAGGACUACGGAUUUUGGAGUCACAAAAUGCGUAGUCACUUGUUCUCUCUCCAUCCUAGUAUAUGGGAGAUUGUAGAGAGUGGAAUGCACUUUGAUAGUUCAGAUAGUCCCAUGUUCAUUAAUGAGCAAAUUCAUAAGAAUGCACAAGCUACUACUGUUCUUCUAGCUUCAUUGUGCAGGGAUGAAUACCACAAAGUGAGCGGCUUGGAUAACGCCAAGCAGAUCUGGGACACCCUCAAGAUUUCACAUGAGGGGAACGACAUCACCUUGCUCACCAAGAUGGAGUUGGUGGAGGGCGAGCUUGGACGAUUCGCGAUGAUAAGGGGCGAGGAGCCGACACAAACAUACAACCGGCUCAAGACCCUUAUCAACAAAAUAAGGAGCUACGGAAGCACGCGAUGGACGGACCACGACGUCGUCCGAUUGAUGCUAAGGUCCUUUACCGUUCUUGAUCCUCAUUUGGUGAAUAACAUUCGUGAGAAUCCCAGGUACACCAAAAUGUCGCCCGAAGAAGUCCUUGGAAAAUUCGUAAGCGGGCGAAUGAUGAUCAAGGAAGCGAGGUACGUGGACGACGCUCUAAACGGUCCAAUCAAUGAGCCUCAAACCGUUGCUCUCAAGGCAACAAGGAGCAAGGAGGCGUUACCCAGCAAGGUAGCACAAAUUGAGGCCGCUGGACUUAAUGAUGAAGAGAUGGCUCUCAUCAUCAAGAGAUUCAAGACGGCGCUUAAGGGUCGCAAGGGACAGCCAAGCAAGACCAAAGCCAAGGGGAAGCGCUCAUGCUUCAAAUGCGGUAAGAUUGGUCAUUUUAUUGCUAACUGUCCCGAUAAUGAAAGUGACCAGGAACACGGGAGCAAGAGGGAAAAGAAGAAAAAUUACAAGAAGGCCAAGGGCGAGGCACAUCUAGGAAAGGAGUGGGACUCGGAUUGCUCCUCCUCUGACUCCGACAAUGAAGGACUCGCCGCCACCGCCUUCAACAAGUCAUCUCUCUUCCCCAACGAGCGUCACACAUGCCUUAUGGCAAGAGAGAAAAAGGUAUGUAGUCGAAACUCUACUUAUGCUUCUUCAAGUGAGGACGAAUCUAGUGAUGAGGAUGAAAUAGAUUAUUCAUGUUUAUUUAAGGGCCUAGAUAGAACCAAGGUAGAUAAAAUUAAUGAAUUGAUUGAUGCCUUGAAUGAUAAGAAUAGGCUUUUAGAAAAACAAGAGGACUUGUUGUAUGAAGAACAUGACAAAUUUGUAGAAGCACAAAAAUCCCAUGCCUUAGAAGUUAAGAGAAAUGAAAUGCUUUCUUAUGAAUUAUCUUCUUGCCAUGAGACAAUUUCUAGCUUAAGGAGCAUUAAUGAUGAUUUGAAUGCUAAGUUAGAAAUAGCUAGUAAAUCAACAACUUGUGUAGAAAAUGUUGUUAUUUGUAAUAGAUGUAAAGAUUUUGAUAUUGAUGCUUGUAGUGAACACAUAGCUUCUAUUGCAAAGUUAAAUGAUGAAAUGGCUAGUCUUAAUGCCCAACUUAAGGCUAGCAGAAGUGAUUUUGAUAAACUAAAAUUUGCUAGGGAUGCCUACACGAUUGGUAGACACCCCUCAAUUAAGGAUGGGCUUGGCUUCAAAAGGGAAGCCAAGAACUUAACAAGCCAUAAGGCUCCCAUCUCCGCCAAGGAGAAAGGGAAGGCCCCUAUGGCAAGUAGUACUAAAAAGAAUCAUGCUUUUAUGUACAAUGAUAGAAGACAAUCUCAUAGGAGUUGUAAUGCGUUUGAUUCACAUGCCUAUGAUUCUUAUGCUAUGUAUUCUUCCAGUUCUUCCUAUAUGCAUAGUAGAGAUAUGCCUAGGAAAAAUAUUCAUCAUGUGCCUAGAAAGAAUAUUGUUCAUGCUCCUAGGAAAGUUAUGAAUGGACCCUCUACAAUUUAUCAUGCUUUAAAUGUUUCCUUUGCUAUUUGUAGAAAGGAUAAGAAGGUAAUUGCUAGGAAAUUAGGGGCAAAAUGCAAGGGUGAUAAAACUUGCAUUUGGGUUCCUAAGACAAUUUUGACUAACCUUGUAGGACCCAACAAGAGUUGGGUACCUAUGACCCAAGCCUAAAUUUGCCUUGCAGGUUUAUGCAUCCGGGGGCUCAAGCUAGAUUAUCGACAGCGGAUGCACAAACCAUAUGACGGGGGAGAAGGAGAUGUUUACCUCCUACGUCAAGAAUAAGGAUUCCCAAGAUUCAAUCAUAUUCGGUGAUGGGAACCAAGGCAAGGUGAAAGGUUUAGGCAAGAUUGCAAUAUCCAAUGAGCACUCUAUCUCUAAUGUGUUUUUAGUUGAGUCUCUUGGAUAUAAUUUACUAUCUGUCAGUCAAUUAUGUAAUAUGGGAUAUAAUUGUCUAUUUACAAAUGUAGAUGUGUCUGUCUUUAGAAGAUGUGAUGGUUCACUAGCUUUUAAGGGUGUACUAGACGACAAACUUUAUUUAGUUGAUUUUGCAAAAGAGGAGGCUGGUCUAGAUGCAUGCUUAAUCGCUAAGACUAGCAUGGGCUGGCUGUGGCAUCGCCGCUUAGCACAUGUGGGGAUGAAGAACCUUCACAAGCUUCUAAAGGGAGAACACGUGAUAGGUUUGACUAACGUGCAAUUCGAAAAAGAUAGACCUUGUGCAGCUUGUCAAGCAGGUAAACAAGUGGGAGGAGCACAUCACAGCAAGAAUGUGAUGACCACCUCAAGACCUCUGGAGUUGCUGCAUAUGGACCUCUUCGGACCUGUCGCCUAUCUGAGCAUAGGAGGAAGUAAGUAUGGUCUAGUUAUUGUUGAUGACUUUUCACGCUUCACUUGGGUGUUCUUUCUGCAGGAUAAGUCUGAAACUCAAGGGACCCUAAAGCGCUUCCUAAGGAGAGCUCAAAAUGAGUUUGAGCUCAAGGUGAAGAAGAUAAGAAGCGACAAUGGGUCCGAGUUCAAGAACCUUCAAGUGGAGGAGUUCCUUGAGGAGGAGGGGAUCAAGCACGAGUUCUCCGCUCCCUACACACCUCAGCAAAAUGGUGUGGUAGAGAGGGAGAACAGGACGCUCAUAGAUAUGGCGAGGACUAUGCUUGGAGAGUUCAAGACCCCCGAGCACUUUUGCUCGGAAGCCGUGAACACGGCUUGUCACGCCAUCAACCGGGUCUACCUUCACCGCCUCCUCAAGAAGACUUCAUAUGAGCUGCUAACUGGUAACAAACCCAAUGUAUCGUACUUUCGUGUAUUUGGGAGUAAAUGCUAUAUUCUAGUGAAGAAGGGUAGGAAUUCCAAAUUUGCUCCCAAGGCUGUAGAAGGGUUUUUAUUAGGUUAUGACUCAAAUACAAAGGCGUAUAGGGUCUUCAACAAAUCAUCGGGUUUAGUUGAAGUCUCUAGCGACGUUGUAUUUGAUGAGACUAAUGGCUCUCCAAGUGAGCAAGUUGUUGAUCUUGAUGAUGUAGAUGAAGAAGACGGUCCAACGGCCGCGAUACGCACCAUGGAGAUUGGAGAUGUACGGCCUCAGGAACAUUUGGAGCAAGAUCAACCUUCUUCCUCAACUAUGGUGCAUCCCCCAACCCAAGAUGACGAACAGGUACCUCAAGUGGAGGCGCAUGAUCAAGGGGGAGCACAGGAUGUUCAAGUCGAAGAGGAAGAAGCAUCACAUGCACCUCCAACCCAAGUUCGAGCGACGAUCCAAAGGGAUCAUCCAGUCGAUCAAAUUCUUGGUGAUAUUAGCAAGGGAGUAACUACUCGGUCUCGAUUAGUUAAUUUUUGUGAGCAUUACUCCUUUGUCUCUUCUAUUGAGCCUUUCAGGGUAGAGGAGGCCUUGCUAGAUCCGGACUGGGUGUUGGCCAUGCAAGAGGAGCUCAACAACUUCAAGAGGAAUGAAGUUUGGACGCUGGUGCCUCGUCCUAAGCAAAAUGUUGUGGGAACCAAGUGGGUGUUCCGCAACAAACAAGACGAGCACGGAGUGGUGACAAGGAACAAGGCUCGACUUGUGGCAAAAGGUUAUGCCCAAGUCGCAGGUUUGGACUUUGAGGAGACUUUUGCUCCUGUGGCUAGGCUAGAGUCCAUUCAUAUCUUGCUAGCAUAUGCCGCUCACCAUUCUUUCAGGUUGUUCCAAAUGGAUGUGAAGAGCGCUUUCCUCAACGGGCCAAUCAAGGAGGAAGUGUACGUAGAGCAACCCCCUGGCUUCGAGGAUGAACGGUACCCCGACCACGUGUGUAAGCUCUCUAAGGCGCUCUAUGGACUUAAGCAAGCCCCAAGAGCAUGGUAUGAAUGCCUUAGAGAUUUCUUAAUUGCUAAUGCUUUCAAGGUUGGAAAAGCCGAUCCAACUCUUUUCACUAAGACUUGUGACGGUGAUCUUUUUGUGUGCCAAAUUUAUGUCGAUGACAUAAUAUUUGGUUCUACGAAUAAAAAGUCUUGUGAAGAAUUUAGCAGGGUGAUGACGCAGAAAUUCGAGAUGUCAAUGAUGGGCGAGUUGAACUACUUCCUUGGGUUCCAAGUGAAGCAACUCAAGGAUGGCACCUUCAUCUCUCAAACGAAGUACACACAAGACUUACUGAAGCGGUUUGGGAUGAAGGACGCCAAGCCCGCAAAGACUCCGAUGGGGACCGACGGACACACUGACCUCAACAAAGGAGGUAAGUCCGUUGAUCAAAAGGCAUACCGGUCAAUGAUAGGGUCUUUACUUUAUUUAUGUGCUAGUAGACCGGAUAUUAUGCUAAGCGUAUGCAUGUGUGCUAGAUUUCAAUCCGAUCCUAAGGAAUGUCACUUAGUGGCAGUGAAGCGAAUCCUUAGAUAUUUAGUUGCUACGCCUUGCUUCGGGCUCUGGUAUCCAAAGGGGUCUACCUUUGACUUGAUUGGAUAUUCAGAUUCCGACUAUGCUGGAUGUAAGGUCGAUAGGAAGAGUACAUCGGGGACGUGCCAAUUCUUAGGAAGGUCCCUGGUGUCAUGGAAUUCUAAGAAACAAACCUCCGUUGCCCUAUCCACCGCUGAGGCCGAGUAUGUUGCUGCAGGAAAGUGUUGCGCACAACUACUUUGGAUGAGGCAAACCCUGAGGGACUUUGGCUACAAUCUGAGCAAAGUCCCACUCCUAUGCGAUAAUGAGAGUGCUAUCCGCAUGGCGGAAAAUCCUAUUGAGCACAGCCGCACGAAGCACAUAGACAUCCGGCAUCACUUUUUGAGAGACCACCAGCAAAAGGGAGAUAUCGAAGUGUUUCAUGUUAGCACCGAGAACCAGCUAGCCGAUAUCUUUACCAAGCCUCUAGAUGAGAAGACCUUUUGCAGGUUGCGUAGUGAGCUAAAUAUCUUAGAUUCGCGGAACCUGGAUUGAUUUAUAGCAUACAUGUGUUUAUGCCUUUGAUCAUUGUUCCCUAUGCAUUUUGUUGCUAAAUAAUGGUGCUCAAGUUGUACAAACACUCCCUGGACCUCACAAGUCCGUUGCAAAGUGAUGCACAUGUUUAGGGGGAGAUGUGUUACAACUUGACCAUUUGAGACUAACCAUGUGCUUGAGUUUGAUGAUUUAGUCUCGAAGAAGGAUUGAAAGGAAAAAGGUGGACUUGGACCAUGAAAGACUUCCACUGCACUCCGAUGAGAGGGUAACUUAUUCCAAGUUCAUCUCAUGUACUCUUAUUGCCUUUGUAUUCUUAUUGAAGAUUUUGGUAAGGCAAUGGGGUUCAAGGGCCAAGGUUAAUCCCGUUUUGGUGCUUGAUGCCAAAGGGGGAGAAAAUAAAGGCCAAAGCGAUAAAUGGAUCAGCUACCACUUGAGAGAUUUUGAAAAUAGUAGAAUAGAGCUUUUGGUUUGUCAAAACUCUUUUAUUGUCUCUCUUGUCAAAAGUUGGCUUCUUGUGGGGAGAAAUGUUGAUUAUGGGAAAAAGGGGAGUUUUUGAAAUCUUGAAUCAAUUUCUCUUGGAAUGACUCUCUUAACAUGUGUGUUUGACUUAGAGAUAGAAAUUUGAGUUUGAUUUGCAAAAACAAACCAAGUGGUGGCAAAGAGUAAUCCAUAUAUGUCAAAUUUGAAUCAAAUGAUUUGAGUCCUUGUUUGAAGUGAUAUUGUAUUUGUUCCACUUGCUUUAUAUUGUGUUGGCAUAAAUCACCAAAAAGGGGGAGAUUGAAAGGGAAAUGUGCCCUUGGGCCAUUUCUAAGUAUUUUGGUGAUUUAGUGUCCAACACAAGUGCCUAAGUGUAAAAUGUGGACAAAGUACAAAUCAAGGAUAAAGGUAUGUUUCUCAGACUUAGUACAUUGUUUUAGUGACUAAUGUAUUGUGUCUAAGUGUUGGAAACAGGAAAAAUCGAAUUGGAAAUGAGAUGACUUUGUUCAGCCAAAGUCUGCUCAGUCUGGGAGCACCGGACUGUCCGGUGGUGCACCGGACAGUGUCCGGUGCGCCAGGCUGGCUCUGGCGAACAAGCCGCUCUCGGGAAUUCAUCGGCGACGUACGGCUAUAAUUCACCGGACUGUCCGGUGUGCACCGGACUGUCCGGUGAGCCAACGGUCGGCCGGGCCAACGGUCGGCCGCGCGAUCUGCGCGGGACACGUGGCCGAGCCAACGACUAGAAGGGGGCACCGGACUGUCCGGUGUGCACCGGACAUGUCCGGUGCGCCAACGGCUCUCAGGCUGCCAACGGUCGACUGCGCCAUUUAUGGAAAGAAAUCGGGCACCGGACAUGUCCGGUGUGCACCAGACUGUCCGGUGCUCCAGUCGGCAGAAGGCAAGAUCAGCCUUCCUAGAUUGCUCUCAACGGCUCCUAGCUGCCUUGGGGCUAUAAAAGGGACCCCUAGGCGUAUGGAGGAGUACACCAAGCAUCCUUUGAGCACUAUUGAUCACUCACACAUCAUUCUUGCGCACUUGUUCGCCAUUCUAGUGAUUUGAGCCUCGUUCUAGUGUGCUAGUCUUUUGAGCUCAAGUCUGGGUCUUGUGUGUGCGUAGUUGCUGUGAUCUUUGUGUCUUGUGUGAGUUGCUCAUCCCUCCCUUACUCCGUGAUUCUUUGUGAACAUCAAAAGUGUAAGGGCGAGAGGCUCCAAGUUGUGGAGAUUCCUCGCGAACGGGAUAAGAAAAGAAAAGCAAAACACUGUGGUAUUCAAGUUGAUCAUUGGAUCACUUGAGAGGAGUUGAGUGCAACUCUCGUCCGUUGGGACGCCACAACGUGGAGUAGGCAAGUUUUGUACUUGGUCGAACCACGGGAUAAACCACUGUGUCAUCUCUGUGUUGAUCUCUUUGAGGUUAUCGUAUUGUGCAAAUUCUUCUCUCUAGCUACUUGGUGAUUAUUGUGCUAACACUUAACCAAGUUUUGUGGCUUAAGUUUUAAGUUUUACAGGAUCACCUAUUCACCCCCCCUCUAGGUGCUCUCAGUACAGGAUAGAGUUGAGACUACGGAGGUGUUAGAGUACCUAUUAGAGUUUUAGGUAUUUCCUAUGUAAUUACCCUCUCGUCCCUACUAUAAUGGGUCUGCCCCAACUAAUAAGUCUAUUAAAACAUUUCCUAACCGCACUCAGGGGUUAGGGUUUCCUAUAGCUGGUAUUGCUGCAGUGUUGUGGCAUGGAUGAGGGACAAGUGUGGGUCCACGUGCUGCUGUGUUGGUGAUGGCGUGCUCUAGCGACGUGCAAAGUGCUGGUGGCACGGGCAGGGUCGUGCUUGAGAUUUAACGGACUCUAGGCAAAAGCUUAUAUAUGGUCAUUUUAACCAUAUAUUUAUACAUAAUCUCUCUCUAUAUAUAAACACACAUUUUGAAAGGUACAACAUUAUUACAUUACUAAUGAGUAAAAAAGUUAUUUAAUUAGAAUUCACAAACCAUUAGCUGGCUCCCUAGCAGGCCAAAGCAAACAACAGGCCAAACGACAAUUAGCUGGCUCCCUAGCUGUCGUAUACAUGUAUGCGUAUGUGCGAACGUUGAUUGUCGAGCGUGUCUUCAGCCCUGUCCUUUGACAGCAUGGUAGAGACAUGAAUUAGGUUUUCUCAAUGUAGUCUGUUUUGACUUGGUACUUGGGAUUGGUUUGGCCAGGUUCGAUAAUGUCUAAGUUCGAUGAUGGCGUACUACUCAGGGUAGCAGGGCUAGACUACUGUAGCAUUAGGGCAACCAAGCCAACACUGAUUAGGCCGAUUAAACAACUAAGGGUAUGUUUAGUUCAGUUGUGGAUUUCAGAAAAUCUAAUUCUAGUUGUGAGCUGUAAAAAAGCUGCUGUGAGCUGAUAUUUUCAGGAAUUGAUUAUGUUGUUGUACCCGUUUGGUUGAGAUUUCAAAAUUUUGGUAGCAAAUAUAGUGUAGAAAACUGAACCAAAUACACUCUAAGUAUUAUACUUAAAUUUAUACUUAUAUACUUGAGUGGGGGCCUGGGCGGCCGCCCACCUAGCGCCCCCUCUGGUCCAGACCUGGGCACGGGCGUGGGCGGCUCAGGUUCUGAGUACCGUGGUUAGGAGGCGGCCGCCCACCUAGCGCCCCCUCUGGUCCAGACCUGGGCACGGGCGUGGGCGGCUCAGGUUCCGAGUACCGUGGUUAGGAAGGAAGUUAUGACCUAUUUUAGUUAAGCUUUGUGGACUAAAAUUUAAUAUAGUAUAGAUAUUAUUGAACCGCGAUCGGGGUUGCAACCUUGGUACUAGAUUCCCUCCUGCUGUCAAAUUUCAUCAUUUUAUUCACAAAGUUCUAUCAUAUUGAACAGAGACAAUUCAAUCUAGGUAGUUUAUUUACACACGUAGAUCUUUCAUAGAUCCAAAUACUAAUUUUCCCCAAGAUGGAGUGGCAGAGCUUAUGACCAAGUCAAACUUUUCUCGUUGGAUUUAGGUCUUUUUUUUGUACCAAUUCAAACUUUUCUAGUUGUGACCAAGUCCGUAGAAAAUUGUACCAAUAUCUACAACAUCAAAUUAGGGGUAUUUGAAUGCACUAGAGAUAAUAGUUAGUGGCUAAAAUUAGCUAGAGACAUCCAAACACCCUAGAUAUUAGCUAUUUACAGUAAAUUAGCUACUCGUUAGCUAACUAUUUGUUAGCUAGCUAAUUCUACUAGUAUAUUUUAGCUAACUAAAUAUUAUCUCUAGUGCAUUCAAACAUCCCCUUAGUUAAUUAAAUCCACAAUUAAAUAUGAGCUGUAGUGCAUUUAUUCCGUAUUGUAUGUAGAUUGUUACUGUAUUUUCUACAAACUUGGUCAAGAUGUUUGACUUGGAACAAAAUGAAACACCAUACAUUUUCGGAACCAAACGUAUAUAAAUUCGUAGGAUGACAGCUUUGCCUACAAAUAGUAGUUACUCUCCAUGGUUAGCUGGGACGGUGUCAUCGCCGUGCCGCUGAAAUUCAGAAUCCCAUUCUGCUCGAUUAUCUGCAUGCACAGGAUUAUAUCUGUUAUGGUUGGCCAGCGCAUCUAUCCAUUCCUAGAUCAGUAGAUCCUAAUGCGAUCUUUCAGAGAGAGUGUUCUUUAUAUAUAAAUAUUAUAAAAGAAAAGCUACGCAGAUUUUGCAAUACCCUUUCCUGAAGCACGCCAUUGACAGCCUGCAGUAUGGCCUCCUGCAAAACAGAAGCGCAAAGAACCUUCGGUGACGGAAAUUGCUGAGCCUGAGCUUUGUUGCAGGAACAGAGCGACAAAUACUGAACCUGACCUUGUUCCUGAGCAUGUCAAUCUCCCUGGAGAUGAUCUGCAUCUGUUCAACAUAUGAGGUCAGUACAUCUGAACUUGCAGAUACUAUUUUUCUUUUUGAAAAAAAGAUUUCAUCUGUGUGUAUCAAGAAGCUAAAACUUACCUUCUGGGAGCGAAUGUUAUUUGCCCACAUUUCAAGAUUAUUUUCCAGGGUCUGGAGCUCGACAAGAUUCAUGUGGUUUAUAUCAUUCUCUCCAUGCAUGUACCUGCAUGGAUGUGCUGAGAUCUGUCAUGAGCCCUGCAAUCGAUUCUAUAAUUUGUGAUUUGUGGAUUCUUGGUAGUUCAACAUGACCAUCAGCUGUACUGGUAAGUUGUUGAACAUAAAUAUAGCUACGAAGCUGCAUCCUCUCCAAAGUUUAUGAAGCUGGAUGGCGGUUUUGUACACGUUUUAGAAAAUAAAAGAAAUAGGAAAGUAAUGGAAGGAACAUCUUUAUUUCAAAAAAAGGACCAUCUUUAGCUACUCACAAAUUCUUCUGAAUUCACAACAGCUCUCCUGGCUACAUCUGUGAAGAGAUGUCAUGCAACUUGUGUUACUCUUAUCCAACCUAGCUUUGUGCUAUCAUUAACACUUUCAGUUCUUUUUCUGAUGCUGCAUGCCGUACACACUAUUGUUUGCAAAAAGCAUGUAGCGCGCAAGACAAUAAAUUUUACUCU
rnacentral:lncRNA from 1 species